rnacentral:rRNA from 1 species
AUUGAACGCUGGCGGCAUGCCUUACACAUGCAAGUCGAACGGUAACGCGGGGCAACCUGGCGACGAGUGGCGAACGGGUGAGUAAUAUAUCGGAACGUGCCCAGUAGUGGGGGAUAGCCCGGCGAAAGCCGGAUUAAUACCGCAUGAGACCUGAGGGUGAAAGCGGGGGAUCGCAAGACCUCGCGCUAUUGGAGCGGCCGAUAUCAGAUUAGGUAGUUGGUGGGGUAAAGGCCUACCAAGCCGACGAUCUGUAGCAGGUCUGAGAGGACGACCAGCCACACUGGGACUGAGACACGGCCCAGACUCCUACGGGAGGCAGCAGUGGGGAAUUUUGGACAAUGGGCGCAAGCCUGAUCCAGCCAUGCCGCGUGCGGGAAGAAGGCCU